GUCAGCGGGCUUUACCCCUGUGAACAGACUCUAGCUCAUCCCCAGGAAGUCCUCAGAAGACAGCGAGGAAAGCAACAUACUACAAAGAUUUAGUAGGUCGGCUCAUUAAUUCCAAGCCAAGACAAACCUGAGCAACUGAAUUGAAGAAACAAAUGUCAGCCCCAGAGAAACUGUCCUUAGCUUUCCUGGUCCUGCAAUGCAAUUUGAAGAUAACAAGGUCUUUGCAGUCACGCCCGAGAUGUCUAAAUGCCAGUGUCUGAGGACCCUUUGGGACAUCUUUGGACUUUGCCACUCACCUUGGAAAGGUCCACCAGGGUGUUGGCUUGGUCACUCAGCUUCCUCUGCUCCAUCUUGACACUCCUUAGUCUGUGGGAAAGAGUUGCCACAGCCACACCCUUCAAAUAUGUGUUAAGGUUUGGCCCCAGGAGCCAAUUCCACAUCUACUGCCAUCCAUUUUGAUUUUGGAACCUAACACAGGGACCUUGAAUGUGGGGGACAACUGAGCAGCAUCAAGGGCUGCCAGGCCCCCAAGUUUCAUCCUCAUGCAUACUUACCUUCCGUCACUUCAGCUACUCUCAGAUCAUCUCCCUGCUUCUAUGUCUGUGCCUUCCACCUCCAGUGCCCUGUUCUCCGCCUCCACGGUCUCCCCAAGUCUCAGCCUGGAAGUGGCAAGAGCAAUAAAGGAAUAAAC